UGUGAGCUUGAUGAGUAGGGCGGGACACGUGGUAUCCUGUCUGAAUAUGGGGGGACCAUCCUCCAAGGCUAAAUACUCCUGACUGACCGAUAGUGAACCAGUACCGUGAGGGAAAGGCGAAAAGAACCCCGGCGAGGGGAGUGAAAAAGAACCUGAAACCGUGUACGUACAAGCAGUGGGAGCACGCUUAGGCGUGUGACUGCGUACCUUUUGUAUAAUGGGUCAGCGACUUAUAUUCUGUAGCAAGGUUAACCGAAUAGGGGAGCCGAAGGGAAACCGAGUCUUAACUGGGCGUUAAGUUGCAGGGUAUAGACCCGAAACCCGGUGAUCUAGCCAUGGGCAGGUUGAAGGUUGGGUAACACUAACUGGAGGACCGAACCGACUAAUGUUGAAAAAUUAGCGGAUGACUUGUGGCUGGGGGUGAAAGGCCAAUCAAACCGGGAGAUAGCUGGUUCUCCCCGAAAGCUAUUUAGGUAGCGCCUCGUGAAUUCAUCUCCGGGGGUAGAGCACUGUUUCGGCAAGGGGGUCAUCCCGACUUACCAACCCGAUGCAAACUGCGAAUACCGGAGAAUGUUAUCACGGGAGACACACGGCGGGUGCUAACGUCCGUCGUGAAGAGGGAAACAACCCAGACCGCCAGCUAAGGUCCCAAAGUCAUGGUUAAGUGGGAAACGAUGUGGGAAGGCCCAGACAGCCAGGAUGUUGGCUUAGAAGCAGCCAUCAUUUAAAGAAAGCGUAAUAGCUCACUGGUCGAGUCGGCCUGCGCGGAAGAUGUAACGGGGCUAAACCAU
rnacentral:rRNA from 1 species